CGCUCUGGCUUUCUUCCGACAUCCGGACUCCGUGACUUUAGCUCUUCGUCAGUUGCGUACUCUUCCGUUCAAGCAGCUUGUGACAUUUUUUUCUGUUACUACAAGAUGUUUACUUGGAUGAGCCGUGCGAAUUUCAACGAGGAUCCUGAUAAUAACUGCCUUAGACGUUGGGAUGUCGGAAGGACGGACGAAGUCUGUACAUAUACAAAUUGAGCCGAAUCAGUUACUUGCGGGAAAGGAGGAUCCAUCUGCUGGCGGGUCUGGAGGUAGCCGCCACAAUAGCAAUGGCGUACUGUCGCCGUAAAGGCCGUGCCAACAAAAUUCUCCCCUGCCUUAUUUAGCUGCCUCGGUUUUCCCCACUGUGGAGUGACCGCCGAUUGCUGAGCGGCACGCCAUCCUGCUGUAGCUGACUGAGCUCUAUACUGUAAAGAGAUUAAAUGCUAUGUGAGUUCGGACCAAGACACGAGUUAAUGUUUUUAUUCGGCGGCGAUACGCUGAUUUUAAGCGAAACAGAUCUUUUUCCCUGAAAAAUAUUAUUGCUAUAGGGAUAUAUAGUACCGCUGUAGAAAUCAGCAUUGACACGUAAGAAAUGAUUGAUGUGUUUUGUACAGCGUUUGUACGCGGUUUAUUUGUCGUGAAAUUAAUAAAAUAAUAGAUCCUCCUUUUGCAAAUAUUUUAAAUCGAUUUUUCUUCAACCACAAGUGGACGAUGGUUUACGUAAUAAUUACAAUUUUUCCAAAACUCUGAUCGAUAUUUAUCGAUAUAAAAAAUCGUAUCAUUUUGUUAACGAAGAUCUACGUGUUCCGUUGAUAUCCGUAAAAAUAUAUGAAAGUACAGGUUUCAUUAAUUUGUAGCAGAAGAGUUUAGGCUAGUAUCACUUUGUAUUAAUCAAAUAGAUAUACCUGUAAUGUUUAGCGAGGUAUAUUUAAUUUUAAAACACAAGAAACU